rnacentral:lncRNA from 1 species
UUUUUUUUUUUUCUUAAAUGAAAAGUAUAAGGGAUUUUAACCUCAUAAAGAAUAAGGAAAAUCAAUUAUGGUGAAGAAACAUUUCAUUUCUUACCGUUUAAAUAUUUCCUUCCUAAAUUGAUGGUUGAUGUAAUGUAGGCUGUAAAAAGAGAGGAGGCAGUUCCUGAAAUACCUUGGGCUCUAAAACCCAUUUUGUGAAAUAGCAAUGUAAUUUGAAUAUUUUAGGAACUGACCUCAAUGCUUAGAGCUUCCUUUGUAUGUUCUUAAACGAUGCCUUAACAUCGCAUUUACUUAUAUGUUAACAUGAAAGUUAUAAGUUGUCUUAUUGUAACGUUGACUUGUCCCUUCAGAGAAUCAGCCUUCCAUUAUGCUCAAGUAUUCAUCAACCUUCAGGGCUGGGAUGGUAUAAAAUAAUGGCAUGAGAUAUACCUAAUGCUAGAUGACGAGUUAGUGGGUGCAGCGCACCAGCAUGGCACAUGUAUACAUAUGUAACUAACCUGCACAAUGUGCACAUGUACCCUAAAACUUAAAGUAUAAUUAAAAAAAAAAAAGAAAAAGAAAAUCUAAAAAAAAAAAAAUAAUAAUAAUAAUGGCAUGACCGGGCCAGGCAUAUAAGGAUUUCCCUCCUCUCCUCAUUUUUAUUUUUAUUAUUUUGGGUACACAGUAGGUAUAUAUAUAUAUGAGGUACAUGAGAUGUUUUGAUACAGACAUGCAAUAUGAAAUAAUCACAUCAUAGAUUUCUCUUCUCUGGAAGAACUUACAACCUGUUGAGGUUUGCUAGCAAACCAAACUCUAACAAAGAACACUGUUUAUUUUUUCUUUUCUUUUCUUGAGAUAGAUAUUUUUUAUUUUAAGUUCUGGGAUACAUGUGCAGAACGUGCAGGUUUGCUAUUUGCUGCACCUAUCAACCCAUCAUCUAGGUUUUAAGCCCUGUUUUGAUUUGAAUAUUAUUCAAUACAAAUGAAGAUUGAAAUGUGGACAUUUAUGCUAAGAACAGCUUCUGGAAUUAUAGAUUUGCCUUGUAUUCUUACCAAUUGUAAGACGGAUAAACAAGCAGAAAUUCAAAAUGACAUAAUUAUAUUUCUUUGCAUCUGGAUUUUAUUCUGUUCCUGGUUCAAGUUUCAAGAUUGUCAAGAAUGACGAGUUGGACUUGGUCUAGUUACUUCCACAGCAGCAGGAGGAACAUGUGUGUGACUCAGGAUAACUGGGGAAGCCUUGGCUAGGCUUUCCUCAUGUCAACCUACCACUCAAAGGGAGAAAACCUCCUGAUCAGAGGAAAUCCAUAAUUUUUGAAUGCUGGCCGAGGUCUGUGACCUCUGACUGAAUGGUUUCCAAGCUCCGAAUUCCUAGGUGAUGUUUUCAUUUGUUCACACUUGCUGAAGAAGGGAAAGGCUCUCUGAUUUACGUGUAAGCAAAACAAUCUAAACAGUAGGAUAAAAUCAUGUUGGAAUGGAGUUCUGUGUGGAUGCUCCUUUGAACCAAAUCAGUUCCACAACUGACCCUGUCAGGGACAUAUAAAUUUAGCAUUUUGGUGUGGAUACAGAAGACGAGAUUAACACAGAUCAAGUAACAUGGAAAUAAAAAAGGAGACAAUGCUGGAUGAUACAGGGGCAGCCAACAAGAGGAGAAAACCCAAGCAUUGGCAAAUGCCUCAUUAUCCAAAGAACACUGAGGUGUGGAGCAAAACUGUGUUGAAUGAACUGUAGAUGGAAAUUCUCUCCUUCCCACCGAGGAGCCGCUGCAGGUUGCAGACUCCCAGAAUGCCACACUGAGAAGAGGAGGGCUAAAAUUCUAGAGCAGAAUCCCUGGGGCAGCCCCUGCUGAAGAAGGGUGCAUCUGUUGAGAAUCUCAUCACCGCCCCCACCCCGCCCAGCCUUCAAUUUAGAGGAAUUUCUAGUUCACGCAGAAUGAAGACAAGAUCACAUAAGUGAGGACGACGCCCCAUUUACAAGUGUGAUUUGGAAGACUGAAGUGGAAACCUUGGGAAGGGGCCUCAGAGUAUGUCAGCUGGGGUCAGACGGGAACAGGAGUCUGGCUCAACACACAUUUAUUGCACUCCUGUUUCAUGCCAAGAAAUGUACCAAAAUCUGGGACUGUGUAACACAGCAAAGGAAAAGACUCAUCUCCAGGAAGCCCCCUUGUCUAGGAAGAGAAAUUGAAUAUCAGCAUAAGGUGGUGAAAAGCUGUGAAGGAGAUGAGUGCCAGGAGUCCAUGGAGGAAGGAUUCUAGCCUGGACAGGUGAGGAAUGGCUUUCUGGAAGAAGCAGAUGCCCCAGCUGAACUUUAAAAUGCCCAUGUGAAAUGAACUGUCUGUAUCUUCAAUCAGCAAAUGGAGUAGGUGGCCACUGUUUAAUUCUGGAAUGGGGAAGUGUAAAGGUGUGGUGUGUGUGUUUACCCCUACUUAGGGAUUCAAAACAGACAGUAAAGAACAAAAGUCUAGCCCUUUGAGCAUUCUCCAUGGGACAUUUGAGGUCUAGCUGGCCCCAGAGAAAGAGAGACAGAAGCAAGGUCAUAUCCAUUUGAGAAAAUCAAAGUGUCUGCUCCAAUUGAGUCUGGUGUCCUUAUUCCUGGAAUAGCCAUCCCUACUGCUCUGGUGCUGAUUUACCUCCGGCAGUUCAGUGCUUCCUGGAAGGUAGGCUGGGCUUUUUAACAAAGUGACUCCUUACUUGACAUGUUUUACCCAAACACAGAGGCCACUGCACUAUGUGCAAGAAACAACAAAAAAUUAAAUGAGACUCAAUGCCUUCCUUAGGGAUCUAAAACCCCAGUAACACAGAUAAACAGGUAAACAAAUAAUGUGAUGGUGUGAUUCUAUAGCAACAGGAAUAGAGCACUGCAGGGCCACCGAAGGAAAAGGUGAUGACCUGGCUUGGAUUCAGUGAUAAAAAGGGGCUUACCUCCUUUCUCUGUUUCUGCUAAAAGCCAGUGAUUACCCCCUGCUUUUCCCAUGUUGGGCAUAGCUGUAAGUACUUUAGACAUAGCGGCACAUUUAAUCAUCAUGCAACAAUAAGAGGAAGCUGAGGCAGACAGAAGUGCCCAAAGUCACAUACUUGAAGCCAGGACUUGAACCUGGGCUAUCUGGCUCCUGAAUCCAUGGCUUUCACUAAUAAUGACUUACCCUCCAAUGAGGAACAAGCUCCAUUCUGGCCUUUCUUUAGCGAAGGCAACUGCCUGAGCUCAUGGUCUGAUCUGGCUUCUGGGAAAGAGAAAGCAGGGGAAACGUCUAGAGAUGGCAUACUGGGAGAAGAAAUUUCUUGCUGUGGAAUCCUGCCCCCAUCUCCCUCCCCACCAUACACAAUCCCACGUGCAUUUACACCUACACGCCGUGUACACACGAACAUUUUUUCUGCUACUCCCAUGGGCCCCAACUCUGCCUUUUCAUCAAAAUCACCCAGAGUUUUAAAUAAAAUGCAGAUGUUGAGGCUUGUUCCUAAAUUAUAAUCUUGGGCAUCUAAAUUUUUUGAUUAAAAAAAAUUGACAUGCAUGCUUAAAGUAAAAAUUUAGACAAUACAGCAAAGAAUGUGUUUGUACCCCUCCCACCUAGCCCUUAGUUCUUCCGAAAGGCAAAUACUUAACCGUUCCUUGUUAUCCUUCCAGAAAACAAUAUAUGCAUAUAUUCAUCUUUUUUUUCUUCUUCCUCUGUAGGUGAUUGUGGUGAAUAGUCAUGAGAAUCUGGGAACUGGCUCCUGCUCUGUCUAUCUUGGAGAUGCAUCUUUUGUGAGAAGCCAGGGCAAGAAUAGGGAGGCUUAGGCAAUGGGAAGUUUCUGAGUAGAUAAAGCAGAUGGCAGAGCAAAGGGACAGAGCCUGGCGAGAGGCUACUCCCUGUAGCAACCUGCCUAAGAGUGAGAGGAAAGCAAGGCAUGGCUAUGAGCACGUGUAGUCUCAGCUACUUGGGAAGCUGAGGCUGGGGGAUCACUUGAGCCCAGGAGUUCAAGACCAGCCUAGGCAACAUAGUGAGACCAUGUCUCUUUAAAAAAAAAAAAAAAAAGAAAAA